GAUGAACGCUAGCUACAGGCUUAACACAUGCAAGUCGAGGGGCAGCAUGGUCUUAGCUUGCUAAGGCCGAUGGCGACCGGCGCACGGGUGAGUAACACGUAUCCAACCUGUCGUCUACUCUUGGACAGCCUUCUGAAAGGAAGAUUAAUACAAGAUGGCAUCAUGAGUCCGCAUGUUCACAUGAUUAAAGGUAUUCCGGUAGACGAUGGGGAUGCGUUCCAUUAGAUAGUAGGCGGGGUAACGGCCCACCUAGUCUUCGAUGGAUAGGGGUUCUGAGAGGAAGGUCCCCCACAUUGGAACUGAGACACGGUCCAAACUCCUACGGGAGGCAGCAGUGAGGAAUAUUGGUCAAUGGGCGAGAGCCUGAACCAGCCAAGUAGCGUGAAGGAUGACUGCCCUAUGGGUUGUAAACUUCUUUUAUAAAGGAAUAAAGUCGGGUAUGGAUACCCGUUUGCAUGUACUUUAUGAAUAAGGAUCGGCUAACUCCGUGCCAGCAGCCGCGGUAAUACGGAGGAUCCGAGCGUUAUCCGGAUUUAUUGGGUUUAAAGGGAGCGUAGAUGGAUGUUUAAGUCAGUUGUGAAAGUUUGCGGCUCAACCGUAAAAUUGCAGUUGAUACUGGAUAUCUUGAGUGCAGUUGAGGCAGGCGGAAUUCGUGGUGUAGCGGUGAAAUGCUUAGAUAUCACGAAGAACUCCGAU
rnacentral:rRNA from 1 species